rnacentral:rRNA from 1 species
AAUAGAUACCCUGGUAGUCCACGCCGUAAACGAUGAGUGCUAAGUGUUAGAGGGUUUCCGCCCUUUAGUGCUGCAGCUAACGCAUUAAGCACUCCGCCUGGGGAGUACGGUCGCAAGACUGAAACUCAAAGGAAUUGACGGGGGCCCGCACAAGCGGUGGAGCAUGUGGUUUAAUUCGAAGCAACGCGAAGAACCUUACCAGGUCUUGACAUCCCACUGACCGGUAUAGAGAUAUACCUUUCCCUUCGGGGACAGUGGUGACAGGUGGUGCAUGGUUGUCGUCAGCUCGUGUCGUGAGAUGUUGGGUUAAGUCCCGCAACGAGCGCAACCCUUGAUCUUAGUUGCCAGCAUUUAGUUGGGCACUCUAAGGUGACUGCCGGUGACAAACCGGAGGAAGGUGGGGAUGACGUCAAAUCAUCAUGCCCCUUAUGACCUGGGCUACACACGUGCUACAAUGGAUGGUACAAAGGGCUGCAAGACUGCGAAGUCAACCCAAUCCCAUAAAACCAUUCUCAGUUCGGAUUGCAGG